rfam:Myotis lucifugus cont2.3428, whole genome shotgun sequence.
GGCAGUUCUCGGGUGACACAUCCCAGAAUUGGGCUCCCUCCUCUCUGGUUCCGGGUGUGAAACCAGAGAACCACA